AACGCACAUUGCGCCCCUUGGUAUUCCGAGGGGCAUGCCUGUUCGAGCGUCAUUACAACCCUCAAGCAUUGCUUGGUAUUGGGCUCCGCUGUUCACCCAGCGGGCCUUAAAAUCAGUGGCGGUGCCAUCGAGGCCCUGAGCGUAGUAAAUAUCCUCGCUAUAGGGACCCGGUGGACGCUGGCCAUUAACCCCCAACUUUCUAAGUUUGACCUCGGAUCAGGUAGGGAUACCCGCUGAACUUAA
rnacentral:misc_RNA from 1 species